UACGGAGGGUGCAAGCGUUAUCCGGAUUCACUGGGUUUAAAGGGUGCGUAGGUGGGCAGGUAAGUCAGUGGUGAAAUCUCCGGGCUUAACCCGGAAACUGCCAUUGAUACUAUUUGUCUUGAAUACUGUGGAGGUCGGCGGAAUAUGUCAUGUAGCGGUGAAAUGCUUAGAUAUGACAUAGAACACCAAUUGCGAAGGCAGCUGGCUACACAAUUAUUGACACUGAGGCACGAAAGCGUGGGGAUCAAACAGG
rnacentral:rRNA from 1 species